rnacentral:rRNA from 1 species
AGCAAGCAUCGGCUAACUCUGUGCCAGCAGCCGCGGUAAGACAGAGGAUGCAAACGUUGCUCGGAAUUACUGGGCGUAAAGCGCGCGCAGGUGGUCCGGUAAGUCGGGUGUGAAAUCCCGGGGCUCAACCUCGGAAGUGCACUCGAUACUGCUAGACUUGAGUACUGGAGAGGAGAGCGGAAUUCCCGGUGUAGAGGUGAAAUUCGUAGAUAUCGGGAGGAACACCAGUGGCGAAGGCGGCUCUCUGGACAGAUACUGACACUGAGGCGCGAAAGCGUGGGAAGCAAACAGGAUUAGAUACCCUGGUAGUCCACGCUGUAAAACGAUGACGACUGGGUGUUUCGGGUAUUGACCCCCGAGGUGCCGAAGCCAACGCGUUAAGUCGUCCGCCUGGGAAGUACGGCCGCAAGGCUAAAACUCAAAGGAAUUGACG